AUUGAACGCUGGCGGCAGGCCUAACACAUGCAAGUCGAACGAGUGGCGGACGGGUGAGUAAUGUCGGGGAAACUGCCUGAUGGAGGGGGAUAACGACUGGAAACGGUAGCUAAUACCGCAUACCAUCAGAUGUGCCCAGAUGGGAUUAGCUGGUUGGUGGGGUAACGGCUCACCAAGGAGACGACCCCUAGCUGGUCUGAGAGGAUGACCGGCCACACUGGAACUGAUACACGGUCCAGACUCCUACGCGAGGCAGCAGUGGGGAAUAUUGCGCAAUGGGCGCAAGCCUGAUUCAGCCAUGCCGCGUGUCUGAAGAAGGCCUUCGGGUUGUAAAGUACUUUCAGCGGGGAGGCGUUACCCUCAGAAGAAGCACCGGCUAACUCCGUGCCAGCAGCCGCGGUAAUUC
rnacentral:rRNA from 1 species